AGGGUUUAGAACUUUGUAAGAUACAAAAUUUCCGGAACGAUUAUUGUGCCGCGGCUAUAAUGGCUCCCUACAUUGUUCACCCAUGGUUAAUCAUUUCAAUUGCCGCAGUCGUGCCUCUUCGCGUCUCAGCUGAACAACCGAAAACAAGUGCUCCACAGAAGAGGACAGGCCCAUGGAAGUUCAUGAAUACUGGUGUCAUUUACCUAAACUUGACUACGAUGAACACAUCUGGAAUAUUGUGCAAAGCAGCAAUGAGAACAGAGUUGAAUGCUACUGCCAGAACCUUUUCUCAGGACAUAGGAAUCAGAUACCAUGAUGCCUGAGCUAUACACUAACUAGUCCAACAGCAUACGUUACUGGCCUUCCUGUUCUUCCCUACAAAAGCCCCCGGGAGUGAACAGCAGCCAUCGAGGCGACUAAGGCCUGGGUAGAAAUAAAGGCUGAUAAUGAACCUU